rnacentral:rRNA from 1 species
UACGUAGGGUGCAAGCGUUAAUCGGAAUUACUGGGCGUAAAGGGCGCGUAGGCGGAUAGUUUAGUCAGAGGUAAAAGCCCAGGGCUCAACCUUGGAACUGCCUUUGAUACUGGCUAUCUUGAGUACGGGAGAGGUGUGUGGAACUCCGAGUGUAGAGGUGAAAAUUCGUAGAUAUUCGGAAGAACACCAGUGGCGAAGGCGACACACUGGCCCGUUACUGACGCUGAGGCGCGAAAGCGUGGGGAGCAAACAGGG